rnacentral:rRNA from 1 species
GAUGAACGCUAGCUACAGGCUUAACACAUGCAAGUCGAGGGGCAGCAUGAUUGAAGCUUGCUUCAAUCGAUGGCGACCGGCGCACGGGUGAGUAACACGUAUCCAACCUGCCGAUAACUCGGGGAUAGCCUUUCGAAAGAAAGAUUAAUACCCGAUAGUAUAGUAUUUCCGCAUGGUUUCACUAUUAAAGAACUUCGGUUAUCGAUGGGGAUGCGUUCCAUUAGAUAGUUGGCGGGGUAACGGCCCACCAAGUCAACGAUGGAUAGGGGUUCUGAGAGGAAGGUCCCCCACAUUGGAACUGAGACACGGUCCAAACUCCUACGGGAGGCAGCAGUGAGGAAUAUUGGUCAAUGGACGAGAGUCUGGACCAGCCAAGUAGCGUGAAGGAGGACUGCCCUAUGGGUUGUAAACUUCUUUUAUACGGGAAUAAAGUGGAGUAUGCAUACUCCUUUGUAUGUACCGUAUGAAUAAGGAUCGGCUAACUCCGUG